rnacentral:rRNA from 1 species
AACGAACGCUGGCGGCAUGCCUAACACAUGCAAGUCGAACGAGACCUUCGGGUCUAGUGGCGCACGGGUGCGUAACGCGUGGGAACCUGCCCUUAGGUUCGGAAUACCUCCCCGAAAGGGGUGCUAAUACCGGAUAAUGUCUUCGGACCAAAGAUUUAUCGCCUUUGGAUGGGCCCGCGUUGGAUUCGCUAGUUGGUAGGGUAAAAGCCUACCAAGGCGACGAUCCAUAGCUGGUCUGAGAGGAUGAUCAGCCACACUGGGACUGAGACACGGCCCAGACUCCUACGGGAGGCAGCAGUGGGGAAUAUUGGACAAUGGGCGAAAGCCUGAACAAGCAAUGCCGGGUGAGUGAUGAAGGCCUUAGGGUUGUAAAGCUCUUUUACCCGGGAUGAUAAUGACAGUACCGGGAGAAUAAGCUCCGGCUAACUCCGUG